GAUGAACGCUGGCGGAAUGCUUUACACAUGCAAGUCGAGCGGCAGCGCGGGGGCAACCCUGGCGGCGAGCGGCGAACGGGUGAGUAACAUAUCGGAACGUACCCAGUCGUGGGGGAUAACUAUCCGAAAGGAUAGCUAAUACCGCAUACGUCCUGAGGGAGAAAGCGGGGGAUCGCAAGACCUCGCGCGAUUGGAGCGGCCGAUAUCGGAUUAGCUAGUUGGUGGGGUAAAGGCUCACCAAGGCGACGAUCCGUAGCGGGUCUGAGAGGAUGAUCCGCCACACUGGAACUGAGACACGGUCCAGACUCCUACGGGAGGCAGCAGUGGGGAAUUUUGGACAAUGGGCGCAAGCCUGAUCCAGCCAUGCCGCGUGAGUGAAGAAGGCCUCGGUUGUAAG
rnacentral:rRNA from 1 species